rnacentral:rRNA from 1 species
GAUGAACGCUGGUGGCGUGCCUAAUACAUGCAAGUCGAGCGAACAGACGAGGAGCUUGCUCCUCUGACGUUAGCGGCGGACGGGUGAGUAACACGUGGAUAACCUACCUAUAAGACUGGGAUAACUUCGGGAAACCGGUGCUAAUACCGGAUAAUAUAUUGAACCGCAUGGUUCAAUAGUGAAAGACGGUUUUGCUGUCACUUAUAGAUGGAUCCGCGCCGCAUUAGCUAGUUGGUAAGGUAACGGCUUACCAAGGCAACGAUGCGUAGCCGACCUGAGAGGGUGAUCGGCCACACUGGAACUGAGACACGGUCCAGACUCCUACGGGAGGCAGCAGUAGGGAAUCUUCCGCAAUGGGCGAAAGCCUGACGGAGCAACGCCGCGUGAGUGAUGAAGGUCUUCGGAUCGUAAAACUCUGUUAUUAGGGAAGAACAAAUGUGUAAGUAACUAUGCACGUCUUGACGGUACCUAAUCAGAAAGCCACGGCUAACUACGUG